rnacentral:rRNA from 1 species
CAAAGAGGAUACACCUGUUCCCAUUCCGAACACAGAAGUUAAGCUCUUUAGCGCCGAUGGUACUUGGUGGGAAGCUGCCUGGGAGAGUAGGACGUAGCUGCGU